rnacentral:rRNA from 1 species
AUGAACGCUAGCGACAGGCCUAACACAUGCAAGUCAGGGGCAGCACAAGGAGCAAUCUGAGGUGGCGACCGGCGCACGGGUGAGUAACACGUAUGCAACCUGCCUGUAAGCGGGGAAUAACCCGUUGAAAGACGGACUAAUACCGCAUAAUACUAAAUUACUGCAUGGUAAUUUAUUUAAACAUUUAUGGCUUACAGAUGGGCAUGCGCAUGAUUAGCUAGUUGGAGAGGUAACGGCUCCCCAAGGCAACGAUCAUUAGGGGUUCUGAGAGGAAGGUCCCCCACACUGGUACUGAGACACGGACCAGACUCCUACGGGAGGCAGCAGUGAGGAAUAUUGGUCAAUGGACGAGAGUCUGAACCAGCCAAGUCGCGUGCAGGAAGAACGUCCCUAUGGAUUGUAAACUGCUUUUGCAGGGGAAUAAAGUGCAUCACGUGUGAUGUUUUGUAUGUACUCUGCGAAUAAGGAUCGGCUAACUCCGUGCCAGCCGCCGC